rnacentral:lncRNA from 1 species
GCCAGUCCGACCAUGAGACGGCAUGAAGAGCAGCCCUUAAAACCAAUCAUUAGAGUGCUAGCUCACGAGGGUCAGGGUCAUGAGUUGCGACUCCUCACAAGUGUUCCUCUCCACUACUCCUAAGCGUAGCCACCCAUGUGCCCCAGCCACUGCCUGCAAGCCCACUGCCCAUUGUUUCCCGUGCACCCGCCACACCAUUGCUUGUGUGCCUGCCGUCUUGUCACGGCCUUAGCUGGAAUUGUCUAAGGCGUGAGGCACCCUUGCGGCCAAGACGCGAACUUAGCUUGCGUUGCCUAAGUCGCGCUUCGCCCUUGCGAUAUUGCUCCGCAAAGAUCAGCCCACUUGCAACCUCUCGCAGGUCCCGAAGGACAUGUAAAAGAGAAAGUUGAUUAGUUCGAAAGAACGAGCGACGGACAAGUCCCGAAGUCUCACGAAAAGGGGAAGCUUUACAAGCAAUUCAGCGAGCACCUUGCGUGCACAAGAGAAAAGAGAGAGAGGGGGAAAACAAGGGCUUUAGAAAGUUGAACGAACAGCUGCAAGCCCACAAACAGCUGCUCACCGAGUCCCGGGCAUGACAACAAGUUCCCGUCAAGGCAACGUGCGAAUUUGCGAAGGAGUGUUCAACGCCCGGUACUAUACCGAAGCCCCAUCCAGCCCUGUGCCACCCAAGGGGUUUCAAGGGGUUGAGAUGGCUGACGUUUUGGUGAGCGGAGGUGGAUUCCAGAAAUCAGCCCGCGGCACACGAAAACGGAGUUGUUUUGGGCUGUUUUGGGGCUGUUUUGCUCGGUUCGGUGAGUGGUCGCUUUGUAACGCUGCAGCUUGUUUGAACUUACAUUUUUACAAGCUAAAUAACCCAAAACCAAGACAAAACAUGCUGUCAAGCAGCUAUACAUGUAGGUGUGAGCGACGAACGGUUCGUUGAAUGGAGUUGUUGCGAGUGCGCAACGACCGUUCAUGACAGUCUGCCCAGAUCAGGUACAUCUCCUCCUCUUUUACACCUCUUCCUCAACCACCUCCUCUUAUUCCUUCUUAUUCAUCUUCUUCCUCUUUCCUCCCCUUUUCUUUCUCCCCCAAGGCCCCAACAGUAUCAUGGUACAUACCAACGUACCAACACACAAUACACCAUUAUGGCUCGGAUAUGUACCAGUCCGAACCUGGACUAGUACCUGGUACCUGGUACGUAGUUCCUUGCCUCAUUCAGGACUUACUUUUGUUUGAAUCAGUGUUCUUCUCUAUAGGUGCAAUAACAUGCUUCUUAGUUCAUGAAACUUGAAAUGGACUUUCUGUAUUGUAGUUAAUAGCUAAGGCUGUAUGUCUAACUCUCCCAAUCUUCAAUAGAGGUAGGAGGCUUGUGCAUUUGGUUACCUUUCGACCUUUGAUGAAAUAUGAUAUUGUAUGUGGAAACCAAGUAUUGUAAUUGCUUUAAUCUAGUUAUCUAACAGAAACACUCUAGUUUAUCAUCGAACUUGUUUACCAUAUUGCAUAUAUCAACAUGAGCAUUGUGUAUACUGUCAAUGUUCAAACAUACUGACAAAAAAAUGUACAUUUGUGCAUGUAUAUAUGUUCAUUCACCACAACUGAAUAUGUCAUAUUUACACACAUAAAUGUAUAAACAUGUCUACAUAUUCAUGCCCUUAAGGAAAAGACAGAGAGGUGUGAUUCUAUCGAAAACCGAGACUUUAAUCCUAACAGCUAAAAGCAAAUGACCACAUGUCUAAAAGGGAGAUCUUACUACCAAACAUGAUCUAUAACAUCUAGAGAACUUAACAUCAGUAAACCAUGAUUAUAGAGUAUGUCUUACCUCUACAUUAAAUACACAUGAAAUCAGUGAUACAUAAAGUGCUAACAAUAUUAGUCAAGAUCAAUUUCACUGAUUCUGAUCUCAGUGUUUAGGGAUAUAAACAAGCACAAUUCAACUAAAUUAGAAUGUUAAAUCACCACAAAUAUUGUAAUAUGCUAUUAAGACAAUCUUGUAUCUGAUUGACGAACCAAGGUUAGGUACCUUAAGAACAAUAGACUAGUUCUCUCUCGAUAUUAUAGAUGUCGUAUACAUCAUGUCUAAGGGUGCAACUUUUGAAAUUUAGUGUCCCAUCUUCAAUUUGAACUUUGUUGAUGCUUAUCCUCCAAGUGGAUAACAGCUCGAUUAACUCUCUCCCUCUCUCAUAUUACAUGUAUACAAACACAAAGUUGCAUGUCUACAUUUAUUAAUAUCAACAUUUAUAUAUAACCAUCUUAUAACCAUGUGGAAAAAAUCUGCCAAAAAAGAGCCAAGUAUGCGAUGGUGUCGGACCAGGAUGGCAAGUAUCUCGGUCACAUUAUUCCUGGCCAUGUCAGUCAUGUACCAACUUUAAAUCUAUAGAUUUUACAUCCACAAGAUGCUUGAUCAGGUAGGGGGUGGCCUUUCAUGUAUAGAAGUUGAUUUAUAGAUAUCACAUUCACAAGAUGCUUAAUCAGGUAGUGGUCCCUUCAUGUAUAGAAGUUCCACGUAAAACUCUAAGCUAAAAAUCUACCAGAAAAAGUUGACUUUCAUCUCAUCAGCAUAAACUGCCAGGCAAUUCUUAGAUGAAAAUCCAUUAUCCCACACCUGGUUGGUAGUUUAUUUAAUAUCUAGAUUUAGAACAGGGACAACUGUGGAAGAACAAGGACGACUUAAUUCUCCAGAGUGCUAAUGAAUAGAUAACUGAAGAAUGCUAUCCGAUGAUCUAUUUCCUGGAAGAUCAACAGUGAACUGUGAUAUUCCAUUCUCCUAAAACAUCCUGUCUGUUUGGAUCCAUAAUUCUUUAACCUCUUUCCUUAAUCACAGGAUCUCCUUCUUCAUCCCUUUUAUCUCUCUGUCCUUAUUUCAUGAAUUUAGUGAAAUAAGACUGACAAAUAUUCUGUCAUUUGCUUUAAAUAAUGAAAAUAAAAAGAAUCAGAUUCAUAUUGAACUUGGAUAUUUUUCAGAAAACUGCACUGACAACAUGUGUGUAUAGUAGACGGCUGACUAGAAAAAUCAUUCUUUAAUUAGCAUGAGUGCAGCACUAUGGGGUCAACAAGCCUCUCCCCUCCUAAAUGAUUGACACAGAAGUUUCUUCCUCUUUGAACUGGCAUGUUUGAUAUCUUUGUACAAACUCAUAAUAUAACAGACAACCAUUUUUGUCUAUAUCCUGAAACACUUUCAUGUUUAAACAGUUUUAAGAAUGAAUCAAUCUAACAAGUCACUGAUAUUAUCUAUCAUUCCAAAAAUUGGAUAGCUUCGUGUUGUUUUAAAAUUCACCUACCUAGUGCCCACCAAUCAACUGCACUAGUGUGGCCAGCUCCACUAAUAAUCUCCUGCAAGAAAAUGUCAAGAUGUAUUGGCCUUGUACAAGUAAUGUUUUUGGAGUAAAGUUGCUAAAUAUCUAAUCCAACAUAUGUGUUACAUUCAUAUCUAUGAACCAUGUAUGAUGCAUAUACAUAAUCAUUUUACAAAAAGAAUGAUAAAUAUAUAUGUUGAAAAAAUUAUAUAUGAAACAACGAAUAUAUUACUUCCACCCAAGCUGAACUUCGCAAAUACUAGUGUAACAAGAUGAUCGAAAGGAGAAUUAGUAAGUCUAAAUUCAGCAGAACUAAUUAAAUUAUGUAUUUAAAAGAUUAUAUUAUGUACUUAAAUUUAUGUAUGUAGAUGAAUAUUCUUGAAAAAAAAUGUAUUUUCAGGUCUUGGUAUUUUACUUGAAGUUACUAUUUCAUUCUAUCGUGCCCUUAACAAAAUAGAUCUGAUGCUUAGCAGUACCUAUGCAGAAACAGAACAAAGAUAGCUUCCAGACACUAAUGACCUAUGUCAUAGAACUAAUUGGCAAAAACCACAUGAGAUAAAUGAACUGAAGUUUUAUAAAAUGCAAUCAAUAGAGCAGUCCACUGUUGCAUCUAUUAUUAUCAUUAUUAGAAAAUGCUAUUAGUGCCUCUUAGGUUCAGUCCGAUUGUUUCAACAAAAUGCAGCUCUGAGCAACACAGAAGCUAAGAGUUGUGGCAAGAUAUAUCAUUUGUGAUCUUGAGAACUAUUGAAGCAUUGUUUGCAAACAACAUAUAUAGCAAAAAUUUGCAAAGCUUUUGUAAACAUUUAGGAACAAUUUGUAAGAGAAUUGAAGAAGAUAUUACUUAAUAUAUUAAAACCUUUAGUGACAGAAAAGGCUGCAUUGAGAACAGAAGAUGGUGAAGUUAAAAUCAAAAAGUCGUACCUCCAAAAUCAAACCAUAGGAAUAGGGCAAUCUCAUAGCAAAAGAGAGAGACUUGAAAAAGUCCUUUUUCCCCAUCCUCAGGGUGAGCAAGUUGCUUACUAAUGAAUUACAAUACACUAAAAGCUGAUUUACACUGUUCAUGAAUCAUUUUGGUGUGUCAAGAAGAAAAAUGCAGAAAGCAACACUGUUUGCAAGAAUAAUCUACUCAUUCCCAACACUUUUAUUACAUUUUCAUUCAAUCUACCCUCAAAUAGGCAUGUCAAUAAUUAUGAUGAAGAACCUAUUGAAACAGUAGUAAAAUCAUAUUGAAAAAAUAGCUCCAAGUAAACAUGGAAUGUUCACAAUGAUGUAGUUUUUCCCAUGAAAGAACCAACAGAUGGAUCAAAGACACAAUUUUGGUUUGUAUAAUGUCAAAUCAUAUUGGCCAGAUUCCUGUUACAUUGUUAAUAUCUUCAAUUACCAGUAAUUUGCUUUCACAGAGGUAUAAUCAAAAGUAUUCCUUCAUACCAAGUGAAAAAAAAUUGUUUAGUUCAAUGAUAAGACAUACCGGCGCAAUGUAUUCUUCAGUUCCAACAAAUGAAUUUGAUGCACGCAUUGGUUCAGCUACAAAAAUU